rnacentral:lncRNA from 1 species
GCCACUCCACCUUGAGUUUUUAAUGUAUUCUGCGCAUCAAACUCGUCUCCAUGUUUGCAAGACAUUCACUUUACCGAGUCUCUUCCCAGCUCCCUUGUAUUCAUACAUGAUUAUAAUGUACUUUGAUCAUAUUCAUACUGUUACCCUUUUGGGUCCCCUUCCUCAUCACAUUCUGGAUCUCAAAUAUUCUCCCCACACAUGCAUGUUAUAACAGGGUCUCACGAAGCAACUUUACAAUGUAGAAUCACCUGGGAAGAGGGAAUUUUAAUUGAAGAACAGCAUUGAUCAGAUUGGCCUGUGGUCAUGUCUAUGGUAAAUUGUGUUCAUUGACAAUGUGUGUGUCGGGGGUGGGGGGAUGGACCCAAGUCCACUGUGGGUGGCAUCAUUCCCUUGGCAUGUAGGUAUGUAAAAAAGCUGGCUGAGCAUGAAUCAGUGAAUGGGCCAGUAAUCAGUAUUCCUCCAUGGUUUGUUUCAGUUCCUGCCACGACUUUCCCUCAGUGAUGGGACCAUGACCUACUAGAACCGCUGACCCUGACAGAGACCCUUCCUUAACUCGCUGGUCACAAUGGCUCUGUAGAGAACAUUUCAGGCUUUUCUCUAUCGUCCAGUGCCCGGUCCGUCUCAGCUUCCUACUGUGUCUGCCCGGAGCAGGUUUAUUCGCUACAUCAGCAACUUGAGAGACAAAAUGGUUUUAAAUAAACUCAUAAUAGAAAAAAA